rnacentral:rRNA from 1 species
UAGGGAAUCUUCGGCAAUGGACGAAAGUCUGACCGAGCAACGCCGCGUGAGUGAAGAAGGUUUUCGGAUCGUAAAACUCUGUUGUUAGAGAAGAACAAGGACGUUAGUAACUGAACGUCCCCUGACGGUAUCUAACCAGAAAGCCACGGCUAACUACGUGCCAGCAGCCGCGGUAAUACGUAGGUGGCAAGCGUUGUCCGGCUUUAUUGGGCGUAAAGCGAGCGCAGGCGGUUUCUUAAGUCUGAUGUGAAAGCCCCCGGCUCAACCGGGGAGGGUCAUUGGAAGCUGAGAGACUUGAGUGCAGAAGAGGAGAGUGGAAUUCCAUGUGUAGCGGUGAAAUGCGUAGAUAUCUGGAGGAACACCGAUGGCGAAGGCAGGUCACUGGGCCAUUACUGACGCUGAGGAGCGAAAGCAUGGGUAGCGAACAGG